rnacentral:rRNA from 1 species
UCGACUGUUUAUCAAAAACAUAUUUAAUAGAUAUUAUUAUUAAUAAAACCUGCUCAAUGAAUAUUAAAUAGCCGCAGUUCAUACUGUGCUAAGGUAGCAUAAUCAUUUGUCUUUUAAUUAAAGACUAGAAUGAAUGGUUUAACAUUUAAAUUAUUAUAAUAAAUUCACAUUUUAAAUUUAUUUUUAAUGUAAAAAAACAUUAAUACUUAAGAAAGACGACAAGACCCUAUCGAACUUUACUUUAGUUAAACUGGGGCAGUUAAUUAAUAAAAACUUUAAUCUCACAUUAUAUUUAAAUGACCCUUUAUAAUUGAUCACUUGAUCAAGUUACCGUAGGGAUAACAGCGUAAUAAUUUUCUAUAGAUCUUAUAUAAAAAUUUGAUUGCGACCUCGAUGUUGAAUUAAUUAUUCUAUUAAAUGCAACAAUUUAAAAAGAAAGUCUGUUCGACUUUUAAAUAAUUACAUGAUUUGAGUUCAGACCGGUGUAAACCAGGUCGGUUUCUAUCUU